ACCAUUUUGAAUAACAGAUCUUCUUUUUUUUCACCAUUUUGAAACCCCUGCUCCUUUCCACCAUUAAAAUUCAGACCUCUGUCUCUCUUUUCUCUUUUCUCUAGAGCCUAUCUCUCUUUCAAGAUCCGACAGUGGUUCGACGGUGAGUGGUGUGAUGGUGUUCGGGGAAGACGGUGGGGGGAGUGUGAUGGUGUUUUCAUGGUGACGGUGGUCGGCGGCGGUUGGAAUACAGUGGUAACAAACGAACGGCGACGGUGGGCUUCAUGGUAAACAGCGACAACAACGAACGGCAGCGGUGGGCUUCAAGGUAAAACAACCGUUAAUCCGGCAAGAAGUAUUGACACCGGCAACAACGAACGGCGGUCGGGCCAAUUUUUCCGGCAAGAAGUUUGACACCAGCGGUGGUGUUCCAGCUCCGGCAGCCGGCAGAGCAAGCAUCUUUUCACUCCGAUGUUACAGAAGACAGUAACAAUUCCUGAAGCCAAAGGGAUCAAAAUGGUUUCAUUUCUGCAUCCAAGCUUCGCCAAGUUAUGACAAAUCUUGGUGAGAAGCUGACCGAUGAGGAAGUUGAUGAAAAGAUCCGUGAGGCUGAUGUCGACGGUGAUGGUCAGAUCAACUACGAGGAAUUCGUGAAGGUCAUGAUGGCGAAGUGAGAACCUUUAACAUCAAACCCAUCUUUUAUUUUA